CUUGAGACGGAGGAGAUAGUGAGGGUUGAGGUGAGGGACCCUGCUACUUGAGACGGAGGAGAUAGUGAGGGUUGAGGUGAGGGACCCUGCUACUAAAGACAGAGGAGACAGUGAUUGUUGUGGUGAGGGACCCUGCUAUUUGAGACGGAGGAGAUAGUGAGGAUUGAGGUGAGGGACCCUGCUAUUUGAGACGGAGGAGAUAGUGAGGAUUGAGGUGAGGGACCCUGCUACUUGAGAUGGAGGAUAUAGUGCUGUAGUUCUUUUCUUCCCUUCCUCAAAGAAGAGACGAUUUACUUGGUUAAGCUGUGACCUCAUCAUGCUGUACGCAUGAUACCCCACCCACUUCUCCCUCUCUCCCUCUCUCCCUCCCUUUGGUGAGGGGCUGGGGCUGCCUACUCCAACAUUAAACAUUUCAUAUUUCUGUUUCGGGUUCCUGUGUGUUGCGUGAGCAGUGAGGACACGAAGCGAGCGAGACCCGAGA
ensembl:lncRNA